CAUGGCUCAGGACGAACGCUGGCGGCGUGCCUAAUACAUGCAAGUCGAGCGAAGUUUUUCUGGUGCUUGCACUAGAAAAACUUAGCGGCGAACGGGUGAGUAACACGUAAAGAACCUGCCUCAUAGACGGGGACAACUAUUGGAAACGAUAGCUAAUACCGGAUAACAGCAUAAAUCGCAUGAUAUAUGUUUAAAAGUUGGUUUCGGCUAACACUAUGAGAUGGCUUUGCGGUGCAUUAGCUAGUUGGUGGGGUAAAGGCCUACCAAGGCGACGAUGCAUAGCCGACCUGAGAGGGUGAUCGGCCACACUGGGACUGAGACACGGCCCAGACUCCUACGG
rnacentral:rRNA from 1 species